rnacentral:rRNA from 1 species
UACGUAGGGUGCAAGCGUUAAUCGGAAUUACUGGGCGUAAAGCGUGCGUAGGCGGUUCGCUAAGUGGGAUGUGAAAGCCCUGGGCUCAACCCGGGAACUGCAUUUCAGACUGGCGGACUAGAGUACGGUAGAGGGCGGUGGAAUUCCCUGUGUAGCGGUGAAAUGCGUAGAUAUAGGGAGGAACAUCAGUGGCGAAGGCGGCCGCCUGGAUCGAUACUGACGCUGAGGUGCGAAAGCGUGGGGAGCAAACAGG